UACAGAGGUCUCAAGCGUUGUUCGGAUUCAUUGGGCGUAAAGGGUGUGUAGGUGGCGCGCUAAGUCGGGUGUGAAAUUUCGGAGCUUAACUCCGAAACUGCAUUCGAUACUGGCGUGCUUGAGGACUGGAGAGGAGACUGGAAUUCAUGGUGUAGCAGUGAAAUGCGUAGAGAUCAUGAGGAAGACCAGUGGCGAAGGCGGGUCUCUGGACAGUUCCUGACGCUGAGGCACGAAGGCUAGGGGGAGCAAACGGG
rnacentral:rRNA from 1 species